GCGCGUAAACCCCUCACGACAGGCGAACCGGUGGCUCGGGACGGAAGGAGGAAAAAGACCGAGGGGGCUGUAUUGCAGGAUGGAUGACAGAAAAUGAAUUCGGCAGAAAAGGAAGGAGGAGGGAGAGAAUAGGGAAGAGAGAGCACAUGGCUUCUCCACCCUCAGACCUGCAGGACAGAGCAAGGUGUGGCGCCUGCACACUUGUGUUCCUGGCAACUGUUGCCAGGAUACCGCAGAGCAGAGAAAGAGUAAUUGCUAUGUGGGUGAGAGUGAGCAGGUGUGUGUGUGUGUACACACAGAAGUAGGCUGGGGUACCGUACAUUAUUGAUAAGAGUCUGAUCUGUCCUCUUUUGCUUCUCCAGCAUGAGCGUGCAAUGGAAGUAACCGGGUCGUACUGGAGAACACCCAUCAGAAUGUUUGUCUUCUCUCCACAUCACACUUAGCAAAUUCACAUCCUCCACAUCUCCUCUUUCAUUAAAAAAAAAAA